GUUAUAGUUUAUUUGAUAUAUUAAAUGGAUAACUGUAGAAAAACUAGAGCUAAUACAUGCCGAAGCCGCAAGGUUGUAUUUAUUAGAUAUUCCAAUUAGGUGAAUCAUGAUAACUUUUCAAAUCUCGGUUUUGCCGAGAUAAAUCAUCCAAGUUUCUGCCCUAUCAUGCUUUCGAUGGUAGUGUAUUGGACUACCAUGGCUUUCACGGGUAACAGGGAAUUAGGGUUCGAUUCUGGAGAAGGAGCCUGAGAAACGGCUACUACAUCUACGGAAGGCAGCAGGCGCGUAAAUUACCCAAUCCUGACUCAGGGAGGUGGUGACAAGAUAUAACAACGCAAUUUAAUUGUGAUUGUAGUGAGGGUUUUCCAAACCGAACCACUAGUACGAUUAGAGGGCAAGUCUGGUGCCAGCAGCCGCGGUAAUUCCAGCUCUAAUAGCGUAUAUUAAAGUUGCUGCAGUUAAAAAGCUCGUAGUUGGAUUUCAAGGAUUGUGUACUCUUCUAGGGUAUGCACCCUACUAGUCUUUGACUGUUACUGUGAGAAAAUUAGAGUGUUUAAAGCAGGCAAUUGCAAGAAUACAUUAGCAUGGAAUAACGAAUGUAUCUAGAAUCUUGGUUAAUUCUAGGUUUCGAUUAAUAGAGACAGUUGGGGGCAUUAGUAUUUAAUUGUCAGAGGUGAAAUUCUUGGAUUUGUUAAAGACUAACGUAUGCGAAAG
rnacentral:rRNA from 1 species